CGUUCUUAAUUUUUUCUUGAACCCUAGCUUGUAACAUACUUAUUGAUAUAGACAAUAAAGACAAGUUCCUGGGAAGCUGAACAUAUUGAAUAAAACCAAUUCUGUUGAUCUUAACGUUUAAAAUCCUGGAUGGGAUAUGAAGUAUAUCUCAGGACAUUUUGGGUUGCACUCAUUACCAGAGGGGCUUUCCAAAUUAUGGACCUCUUUCCGGUGUUAUAUAAUCUGAGACUUCCCAUCCUUCAGUGCCUCUGUAUGUCGUUUAUAAGGAAUAACAACAAAAUCUACUUAAAAAGGCACAAGAGCUCACAUAGUGUGUUAGUGUGUAUUAGUGUGUGUGUGUUUAGAAAAGCAAAUAUGCAACAUAUAGUAACAACUGGUUAUUCACUUAAGGCAACAUAUUUGAUAACAUUUUCCACUAUUAUACACUUUUUAGAGAUCUCCAAGUAUUUAUGAUCUGUCCAGUGAUAUUGUGAUUCUUUAAGACAUUAGAGAAUGUACUACAAUUGAUAGUUUUACCUAAGUUCAUGUGAAAUAUUUUAUUUCUAGCUUCUUACAGUUUCUUCUGUGAACAUUCCUACCCAUUUAUGGAAAGGCUACUUUCCUAAUUUGCCAUGUUUUCCAUUAUUUCCUUAAAAAUACUUUUAGUAUUUUUCAUUUGAAUUAAGUUCUUGGUUUUUCUUAUAAGUCCUUUAAGGUGACUUUUUAAAGUUCAUAAAUUCUGCAUGAUAUUAUUUGACUCCUUAUAAAUUAUAUCUUGUGCAACAAACCUCCACACACAGACACACAUGUAUUCAUAUACAUUUACAGACAGAUGGAUAUUUUAAAACAGUAAGAUAUUUCAUUACAUAGUCAUAACUUGGUUUCUGCUUGUCUACUUUCUUUAUUCAAUCCUCUGUUGAAGGGCACUUAAGUUGAUUCUAUGACUUUACUGUUAUAAAUAGUGCUGCCAUAAAGUACAAGUGCAGGUUUCUUUUUGAUAAAAUGAUUUUGUUUUCCUUUCAUAGAUACACAGGAUUCGAAUUGCUAUGUUGAAUGAUAAUUCUAUUUUUAGUUCUUUGAGAAAUGUCCACACAGUUCUCCAAAGAGAUUGUACUAAUUUAUGUUAUGACCAACAGUGUAUGACUAUUCCCUUUUCUCUGUAUCCUCACCAACACUUGUAAUUUUUUGACACUUAAAUAAUAGCUAUUAUGACUGGCGUAAGAUCGUAUAUCACUGUGGCUUCAAUCUGCAUUUCUCUGAUGAUUAGUUAUGUUGAGCAUUUUUUGUGUGUUUGUUGGCUGCUUGUUCGUCUUCCUUUGAGAAAUCUCUGUUCAUGUCCUUUGCUCAAUUUGUAAUGAAGUUAUUUGUUUUUUUCUUGUUGAAUUGUUUGAGUUCCUUAUACAGUCUGGCUAUUCAAUCUUGGUUGGAUUCAUAAUCUGCAAAUUCUCCCAUUCUGUAAAUUGCUUAUUUACUUUAUUUAUUUAUUUAUUUUUGCUUUGCUG
rnacentral:lncRNA from 1 species